rnacentral:rRNA from 1 species
UACGUAGGGUGCGAGCGUUAAUCGGAAUUACUGGGCGUAAAGAGCGCGCAGGCGGUCGUUCAAGUCGAGUGUGAAAGCCCCCGGCUCAACUGGGGAGGGUCACUCGAUACUGAUCGACUCGAAGGCAGGAGAGGGUAGUGGAAUUCCCGGUGUAGUGGUGAAAUGCGUAGAUAUCGGGAGGAACACCAGUGGCGAAGGCGACUACCUGGCCUGUUCUUGACGCUGAGGCGCGAAAGCGUGGGGAGCAAACAGG